ensembl:lncRNA
GUAUGUGCCAAGAAGCUGUGACAUGACACCUACUACCUCAUCGAGUCAUUCGAGUGAUGAUGAUGAGAGAUCAUCAUCAGGCGAUUCAACGCCGGUAGGGAGAGGGAGAGGACAGAGAGGCAGUGGAUCGGUGGGAGCUAGGCGAGGAGGACGACGAGGAAGAGGAGAACGAGAGUCAAGAGAAGAUCUUGAUAGGAUUGAAGGUUUCCAAAGGCAGAGAAGAGAAGCGACAGAGAGAUUACUGCAGGAGAUGAGCCUUGAGGAUCACAGACGCCUCGCAGCAGGAAUGUUGGAGAGGCAGCCGGGUCUGAUUUUUGAUCUUCUGCUGUUGCAUCAGCAAAGACAUCUGCGGAGGUACCGGGGGUACCGUGGUGUACCUGUGUACUGCCUGGGUGAGGGUUACCUGCGGAUCCAUAGGCAGUACCGGGAGAACCUCACUGCCUUAGGAAAUGUAAGGGAGCCCGGCGAGGACAACAGGGAAUACAGGCAUGCAGCUUACAGGCAUUAUAUUUUCUGGCAGCGUGGCGCAUUAGGACAGGGGAACCGGAGAGUGAUUCCCAGCUGCUGUGUUGGAGAAUUAGGGACAAAUUCCCUGACCCUCAGGGACAAUACACAGGCUACAUUCCAGGGAUCUGAGAGAUUGGCCUGAGUAGUGUUGUAAAUAUUUGGAGUAAAUAGUAAAGUUAUAUUUAUAUCUAUUUAGUAUUCUUUUGAGUUCUGUUUUUUGUUACGAAG